CAAGCCUGAAGCAGCAACGCCGCGUGUGCGAUGAAGGCCUUCGGGUUGUAAAGCACUUUAGGCAGGGAAGAGGAAGGACGGUACCUGCUGAAUAAGCCUCGGCUAACUACGUGCCAGCAGCCGCGGUAAAACGUAGGAGGCGAGCGUUAUCCGGAUUUACUGGGUGUAAAGCGCGUGCAGGCGGUCGGCUAAGUUGGGUGGUGAAAGCUCCUGGGCUCAACUGGGAGAGGUCGCUCAAGACUGGCUGACUGGAGAGCAGUAAGGGAAGGUGGAAUUCCGGGUGUAGUGGUGAAAUGCGUAGAUAUCCGGAGGAACACCAGUGGCGAAGGCGGCCUUCUGGACUGCUUCUGACGCUCAGACGCGAAAGCUAGGGGGAGCAAACGGGAUUAGAGACCCCGGUAGUCCUAGCCGUAAACGAUGUGAACUUGGCGCUGGGUGGGUAAAACUAUUCAGUGCCGUAGCUAACGCGAUAAGUUCACCACCUGAGGACUACGGCCGCAAGGUUA
rnacentral:rRNA from 1 species